rnacentral:rRNA from 1 species
AUUGAACGCUGGCGGCAUGCCUUACACAUGCAAGUCGAACGGUAACGGGCCUUCGGGUGCCGACGAGUGGCGAACGGGGGAGUAAUGCAUCGGAACGAGCCCAGGGGUGGGGGAUAGCCCGGCGAAAGCCGGAUUAAUACCGCAUACGACCUACGGGUGAAAGCGGGGGACCUUCGGGCCUCGCGCCAUUGGAGCGGCCGAUGUCAGAUUAGGAUGUUGGUGGGGUAAAGGCCCACCAAGCCGACGAUCUGUAGCUGGUCUGAGAGGACGACCAGCCAAACGGGGACUGAGACACGGCCCAGACUCCUACGGGAGGCAGCAGUGGGGAAUUUUGGACAAUGGGCGCAAGCCUGAUCCAGCCAUGCCGCGUGCGGGAAGAAGGCCUUCGGGUUGUAAACCGCUUUUGUCAGGGAAGAAAUCCUGCGGGCUAAUAUCCUGCGGGGAUGACGGUACCUGAAGAAUAAGCACCGGCUAACUACGUGCCAGCCGCCGCGGUAAAAC